ACACAUGAAGGGAAUUUCCUGGCUUUGGAAACUUCCAUUAACUGGAAAUCGAAAAUGCAAGAGUAUUUUAAGAUUUACCGCAUCAAACUUUAGGUUCCUAUAUCUAUAAACUAUAGACUGCUUGAUGAUCAAAGAGAGGGAGUGAGGUUUUGACAUGGUUUUCUCAACAACGAUCAUGGAGGCAUACUUGGAGAUGACAUAGAGGGAGCAACCAUACCUCGAGAAGGUUUAGAAGGGUGCAAGCGAAACACAGAGCAAUGAACAAUAUCAAUGAUUAUGAAGAAUCCCUC